CUGACUUGGUCAUCUCAGAUAUUAAAAUAUUGGAAAAAUAGGGAAAAGAUUAUCAUGGCUCCUGCACCAGAUGGCUUGCACCUUCAUGAAGUAUUUCAUAUUUGG